rnacentral:rRNA from 1 species
UACGUAGGGUGCAAGCGUUAAUCGGAAUUACUGGGCGUAAAGCGCACGCAGACGGUCUGUCAAGUCGGAUGUGAAAUCCCCGGACUCAACCUGGGAACUGCAUUCGAAACUGGCAGGCUAGAGUCUUGUAGAGGGGGGUAGAAUUCCAGGUGUAGCGGUGAAAUGCGUAGAGAUCUGGAGGAAUACCGGUGGCGAAGGCGGCCCCCUGGACAAAGACUGACGCUCAGGUGCGAAAGCGUGGGGAGCAAACAGG